rnacentral:rRNA from 1 species
UGCCAGCCGCCGCGGUAAUACGGGGGAUGCAAGCGUUAUCCGGAAUCAUUGGGCGUGAAGCGCCUGUAGGUUGUUUAAUAAGUUGGAUGUGAAAGCCCUGGGCUCAACCUAGGAACUGCAUCCAAAACUAACUCACUAGAGUACGAUAGAGGGAGGUAGAAUUCAUAGUGUAGCGGUGGAAUGCGUAGAUAUUAUGAAGAAUACCAGUGGCGAAGGCGGCCUCCUGGAUCUGUACUGACACUGAGGUGCGAAAGCGUGGGUAGCAAACAGGAUUAGAUA